AGAACCUAUAAAAGCAAUAAAACUGAGAAGCUGAUUGUUUUGCAAAAACAAAAUGAUCUCUCCAAAUUUUUAGUAGUAAGAAGUGAAACUAAUAUGGUGACCUUUGAGAUCUGUUGCCAGCGGCAGUCCUACAUAUGCUUUCAAUAGAGCUGACAGAUCACAUAAUGUGUUGGACCAUAAAAAGCCCCCUAAAAUUUUAUCAUGCUGUCCGCCAGGAGAAGAGACUUGAAGACACUUGUCCUGACAUUGACAGUGUCUGUGCACUUCUCCCUUUGCUUCUGUAAGUGCAGGAUCAGCACAAUAUUGCUUCCUCCUGAACUGGGAGUACUAUAAAUGUUUAUACUCAAUGAAAAGGAGAGGAAAAGAUGGUGGGAAGAGGAAUACAGCAGAAGCAGUGGGAUAUGUGCAAGUCUGCUGUCAACACACAAGAUGCAAACUGGAUCACUUGCAGCCCAUUCUGUGCUGUUCUGCAGGUGUAAAAUUCCUCUUCAUCUGGCUGCAUUUGUGUUUCAGUAUGAUUUUUCAUUUUAAAAGAAGCCCCAAAGUUCAGAAAAGGGAGGACAAAAAAGAAGAGAGCUAAUCCACUGUAGUGAAGACAAAUGGCAAAGAACUGUGAGAGGCUUUGAGGAUGAGAUGCUUUGGCUGCUCUACUACUUCAGGAAAAUGCUGCACCUGCUGAGACUUCAGGGGUUGUGACAUCAACUACAGCUCAGAGAAAGGCACUGGGCAGAGGACAACUAUUGGUACCUUAUGCAAUAUUGUAUAAAUUACCACUCUGAGCAGAUGUGCAUAGUUUAAGUCUUUUCCUAGAGUUAUUAUGGUCAAAACCAAGAGUCAAAAUGUUGGUCAAGAAUAAAAUAUCUCAACUCAGAACUUUUGGAUUUGUUUUUUUUCUACCCGCAGUUCUUCCACUU